rnacentral:rRNA from 1 species
AUUGAACGCUGGCGGCAGGCCUAACACAUGCAAGUCGAACGAGUGGCGGACGGGUGAGUAAUGUCUGGGAAACUGCCCGAUGGAGGGGGAUAACUACUGGAAACGGUAGCUAAUACCGCAUACCAUCGGAUGUGCCCAGAUGGGAUUAGCUAGUAGGUGGGGUAACGGCUCACCUAGGCGACGAUCCCUAGCUGGUCUGAGAGGAUGAACAGCCACACUGGAACUGAGACACGGUCCAGACUCCUACGGUAGGCAGCAGUGGGGAAUAUUGCGCAAUGGGCGAAAGCCUGAUGCAGCCACGCCGCGUGUGUGAAGAAGGCCUUCGGGUUGUAAAGCAUUUUCAUCGGGGAGGCGUUACCCACAGAGGAAGCACCGGCUAACUCCGUGCCAGCAGCCGCGGUAAUAC